rnacentral:rRNA from 1 species
AGGUCCCGCCUGCCCUGUGACUAUAUGUUCAACGGCCGCGGUAUCCUGACCGUGCGAAGGUAGCGCAAUCACUUGUCUUUUAAAUGGGGACACGUAUGAAUGGCAUAACGAGGGCUUAACUGUCUCCUUUUUCUAGUCAAUGAAAUUGAUCCCCCCGUGCAGAAGCGGGGAUAAUUACAUAAGACGAGAAGACCCUGUGGAGCUUCAGACACCAAGGCAGACCAAGUUACACACCCCUAAACACAGGACUAAACCGAAUGGUCCCCUGCCCCUAUGUCUUCGGUUGGGGCGACCUUGGGGCGAAACAAAACCCCCACGCGGAACGGGAGCAUCCUACUUCUCCUAAAAACCAAGAGCCUCCACUCUAGUUUGCAGAACUUCUGGCCUAAAGACCCGGUAAGACCGAUCAACGGACCAAGUUACCCCAGGGAUAACAGCGCAAUCCUCUUUUAGAGUUCAUAUCGACAAGAGGGUUUACGACCUCGAUGUUGGAUCAGGACAUCCUAAUGGUGCAGCCGCUAUUAAGGGUUCGUUUGUUCAACGAUUAAAGUCCUACGUGAU